rnacentral:rRNA from 1 species
UGAGGAAUAUUGGUCAAUGGGCGCAAGCCUGAACCAGCCAUGCCGCGUGCAGGAAGACGGUCCUAUGGAUUGUAAACUGCUUUUAUUUGGGAAUAAACUCCGGUACGUGUACCGGCCUGAAGGUACCAAAUGAAUAAGCACCGGCUAACUCCGUGCCAGCAGCCGCGGUAAUACGGAGGGUGCAAGCGUUAUCCGGAAUCAUUGGGUUUAAAGGGUCCGCAGGCGGUCUUAUAAGUCAGUGGUGAAAGCCUACAGCUCAACUGUAGAACUGCCAUUGAUACUGUAGGACUUGAAUUCGAUCGAAGUGGGCGGAAUGUGACAUGUAGCGGUGAAAUGCUUAGAUAUGUCACAGAACACCGAUAGCGAAGGCAGCUCACUAGGUCUGGAUUGACGCUCAUGG